rnacentral:rRNA from 1 species
GACGAACGCUGGCGGCGUGCUUAACACAUGCAAGUCGAACGGAAAGGCCCUGCUUUUGUGGGGUGCUCGAGUGGCGAACGGGUGAGUAACACGUGAGUAACCUGCCCUUGACUUUGGGAUAACUUCAGGAAACUGGGGCUAAUACCGGAUAGGAGCUCCUGCUGCAUGGUGGGGGUUGGAAAGUUUCGGCGGUUGGGGAUGGACUCGCGGCUUAUCAGCUUGUUGGUGGGGUAGUGGCUUACCAAGGCUUUGACGGGUAGCCGGCCUGAGAGGGUGACCGGCCACAUUGGGACUGAGAAACGGCCCAGACUCCUACGGGAGGAAGCAGUGGGGAAUAUUGCACAAUGGGCGGAAGCCUGAUGCAGCAACGCCGCGUGCGGGAUGACGGCCUUCGGGUUGUAAACCGCUUUCGCCUGUGACGAAGCGUGAGUGACGGUAAUGGGUAAAGAAGCACCGGCUAACUACGUG